GAUGAACGCUAGCGACAGGCCUAACACAUGCAAGUCGAGGGGCAGCAUGGGACGGAGAUUCGUCGAAGUCCUGAUGGCGACCGGCGCAAGGGUGCGUAACGCGUGAGCAACAUGCCCGUCACAGGAGGAUAAACCAUGGAAACGUGGCCUAAUACUCCAUAGUAUAUUAAUAAGGCAUCUUAUUACUAUUAAAGCUACGGUGGUGACGGAUUGGCUCGCGUGACAUUAGCUAGAUGGAGAGGUAACGGCUCACCAUGGCGACGAUGUCUAGGGGAACUGAGAGGUUUAUCCCCCACACUGGUACUGAGACACGGACCAGACUCCUACGGGAGGCAGCAGUGGGGAAUAUUGGGCAAUGGGGGAAACCCUGACCCAGCAACGCCGCGUGAAGGAAGAAGG
rnacentral:rRNA from 1 species